rnacentral:lncRNA from 1 species
AGGGUGGGGGGAGGAGGCAAAUUCUAAAUCUUCUGCCAGGUCUUCCAAGCAGCUCAAGGGUCAAAGAGGAAGGUUCUUUUUUCAGCAGAGCACAUUAAUUAGACUUUGGAGUUUGGACCGGAAAGCUAACUGCCCUACACAAUAAAGGAGGGAACUGGAGGUUCUCGGCCAGAGAAGCAGGGCCUUAGGAAGCAGGCAGAGAGAUUUGGCAACACUGACCUGUUGGCCCAGACUCAAUAACGGAUAAUGUAGCCUCUCUUUUGCUGGAGCUGCAACCAAGACUCAGGAAAAACAAAGUGGAAGAACUGAAAACCAAGAACAAAUCUACAAAAGAGAAGAGUGAAAUAUGGAAUCUGGAAUUAAGAUUCUAAAAGCCUGUAUCCGUUUGGCGACAGUGAGCUGCACAAGCAGAGUUGAUGCUAGAGGCUGUGCCUUGGAGUCUCAAAGCCAUAUGCAACCUGAAGUUGUUUUGGAGUGGAGACUAAAAACUUUGUAAGGGUGGGGCAGAGGAAGGAAAGAGAAGAAAUCACUUCAAGGGAGUGAUGGACAUAAUUCCUGAGCUUUGUUGAACUCCAUUGUUUCGAAGUUGGAUGUUAGAGAAGAUGGGAAAAAAGAGACAGAGAGAGAGAAAGAUAUGGAGGAAAGAGAAGAAAAUAGAAAAAAAUUAAGAAAUACAUCUUAAUGUGAGUUCAAGAAAUGAUGGUGAUAUAUAGUGUCUAAUAAGAUAAUUCAGAAGAGUCUUGUUCUUCAGUGGAUACAGAAUGGUUCUCUUUCACAUGGCAAGUUUGUUCUCUUUGACUAGUCUUUGAGAAAG